rnacentral:rRNA from 1 species
CGAAAGCCUGACGGAGCAAUACCGCGUGAGGGAGGAAGGCUUUUGGGUUGUAAACCUCUUUUUUCAAGGAAGAACAAAAUGACGGUACUUGAAGAAUAAGCAUCGGCUAACUCCGUGCCAGCAGCCGCGGUAAUACGGGAGUGGCAAGCGUUAUCCGGAAUUAUUGGGCGUAAAGCGUCCGCAGGCGGCCGAUCAAGUCUGCUGUUAAAGCGUGGAGCUUAACUCCAUAAUGGCAGUGGAAACUGAUUGGCUGGAGUGUGGUAGGGGCAGAGGGAAUUCCCGGUGUAGCGGUGAAAUGCGUAGAUAUUGGGAAGAACACCAGUGGCGAAGGCGCUCAACUGGGCCGUAACUGACACUCAGGGACGAAAGCUAGGGGAGCG